rnacentral:ribozyme from 1 species
CGCACGGCCCGCACGGCCCGCACGGCCCGCACGGCCGCCACCACAACCACCCGCGCCCGUGCCACCCCCCUAGGGAC